rnacentral:rRNA from 1 species
AAUUUUGGACAAUAGGGGCAAACCUGAUCCAGCCAUUCCGCGUGUGUCAACAAGCUCUUCGGAUUGUAAAGCACUUUAAGGUGGGACGAAGGGCUUUAGGUUAAUACCCUGAAGUCUUGCCGUUACCAACAGACUAAGCACUGUCUAACUCUGUACCAGUAGCCGCGGUAAUACAGAGCGUGCAAGCGUUAAUCGGAAUUACUGGGCGUAAAGCGCGCGUAGGUGGUUCAGUAAGAUGGGUGUGAAAUCCCCGGGCUUAACCUGGGAACUGCUUUCAUAACUGCUGAGCUAGAGUACGGUAGAGGGUAGUGGAAUUUCCUGUGUAGCGGUGAAAUGCGUAGAUAUAGGAAGGAACACCAGUGGCGAAGGCGACUACCUGGACUGAUACUGACACUGAGGUGCGAAAGCGUGGGGAGCAAACAG